GACACGCUGGCGGCGUGCUUAACACAUGCAAGUCGAACGGAGUUACGUAUGAAGUAUUUCGGUACGGACUAUGUAACUUAGUGGCGAACGGGUGAGUAACACGUGGGCAACCUGCCCUUAACCGGGGGAUAACAUUGUGAAAACAGUGCUAAUACCGCAUAACAGAGUAUCGGGCAUCCGAUAUUUUUAAAAGGAGCAAUCCGGUUUAGGAUGGGCCCGCGUCCAAUUAGCUAGUUGGUGAGGUAACGGCUCACCAAGGCUACGAUUGGUAGCCGAACUGAGAGGUUGAUCGGCCACAUUGGGACUGAGACACGGCCCAGACUCCUACGGGAGGCAGCAGUGGGGAAUAUUGGGCAAUGGGCGAAAGCCUGACCCAGCGACGCCGCGUGAAGGAUGAAGGUCUUCGGAUUGUAAAGCUCUGUCAACAGGGACGAAACAAGACGGUACCUGAGAAGGAAGCCACGGCAAACUACGUG
rnacentral:rRNA from 1 species